ACUGGACCAUCAGGGAAGUCCCUCGUUUUGCUAUUAAACAUAAUUGCAGAGAAGGAGGAAACCACUGUGAUGGAAGAGAAGGCUCCUUGCUGUGCACCGCUGGUACCUUCCAUGGAUGCUGAGAACCAACUACAUGCUCUUCUCUAACAGGAGCCCUGAGUGGUCAAGUCUGGUCUCUGGUCCUGAAGCUAAAUCUUCUUCGGAGAUCAUGAAUCCAACAUCGUUCACUGUAAGCUAUCAGGACUUCCCUGAAGUCCAGAGGUUAUGACUUCACCUUCCAAUGCAACCGGUGUAGGGAGCUAGGAUCGCAUCUGCCUCCUGGCCAAAAAAAAACACAAAAGGAAUAUUGCAACAAAUUUGAGAAAGACUUGAAAAAUGGUUCACAUUAAAAAAAAAACAAAACUUUGAAAAAUAAAC